GGUCCUAUAGUUCAGUGGAAGAACGUAUGCUUAACAAACACCUCGUUUGUUUAAGCUCGCAUAAGGCCCUGGGAUCGAAACCCAGUAGGACCU